AAAAGGAUCAAUUAAAUAAAGAUUUGGGAAACCUCCGGUUUCCCAUCCGGCAUUAAAUGAGUCCAGUGAAAAAAUCCCUCUCUAAAGGCGAAUUGAAUUGCGGCGCGAAUCCGCCCUUGCAAGUCUGGUGCCAGCAGCCGGCAACCAUUGGCAUCAAUGCUCCCCUAUACAGUAAAACUGGCUAAUCUCAAUGCCACCAUGGUGCCCCUGAAAAGGCCUCCGGGUGGUGACAGUCCUCAUUAGCGCCCGCGGCGACAUUCUGCUCGACAAUAUCAAUGUCAGUGGUUACGACAAUUCAAUUGGCGGCUUCGUUUCACUCGAUUCAGAACUUGGCAGAGUUUCAUUGGUGGACCUUUCCACAUCCGGUACGGGCACCACUUAUACCGGUGGCUAUGUCAACAUUUUUGCCCAUAGGGACAUAGACAUCGCAGGCAAUGUCGAUGCACAUGGUUCCGGCAAUGCAUCCGGCGGCAAUGUGAACAUGUUCUCCUAUACAGGCAAUAUCAACAUCGAUGGUUCUGUCGACCUGAGCGGCAACAACACACACAUUACUGCUGAUGAUGAUGCCGGAAAUGGCGGCUUCCUGACACUGAACCUCGUUGGUCGGCUCGAUCAAUCUCGGUGGGCGAUGUGGGACGUUUCGUCCAAAGGCUUGAACAACCGGGCCGGAUCGAUUUCUAUAACUUCCAAACUCAGAUGUUAUAUGCUGACAAUUCGAGCUUCCUGGGCUGCUGGCACCAGACUUGCAAGGGCGAUCUACGUU
rnacentral:rRNA from 1 species